rnacentral:rRNA from 1 species
CGAGUGGCGGACGGGUGAGUAAUGUCUGGGAAACUGCCCGAUGGGGGGGGAUAACUACUGGAAACGGUAGCUAAUACCGCAUAACGUCGCAAGACCAAAGAGGGGGACCUUCGGGCCUCUUGCCAUCGGAUGUGCCCAGAUGGGAUUAGCUAGUAGGUGGGGUAACGGCUCACCUAGGCGACGAUCCCUAGCUGGUCUGAGAGGAUGACCAGCCACACUGGAACUGAGACACGGUCCAG